UGGGGAAUAUUGGACAAUGGGCGCAAGCCUGAUCCAGCCAUGCCGCGUGAGUGAUGAAGGCCCUAGGGUUGUAAAGCUCUUUCACCGGUGAAGAUAAUGACGGUAACCGGAGAAGAAGCCCCGGCUACCUUCGUGCCAGCAGCCGCGGUAAUACGAAGGGGGCUAGCGUUGUUCGGAAUUACUGGGCGUAAAGCGCACGUAGGCGAAUCGAUCAGUUAGGGGUGAAAUCCCGGGGCUCAACCCCGGAACUGCCUCUAAUACUGUCGAUCUGGAGUUCGAGAGAGGGGAGUGGAAUUCCGAGUGUAGAUGUGAAAUUCUGAGAUAUUCGGAGGAACACCAGUGGCGAAGGCGGCUCACUGGCUCGAUACUGACGCUGGGGUGCGAAAGCGUGGGGAGCAAACA
rnacentral:rRNA from 1 species